rnacentral:rRNA from 1 species
GAUGAACGCUGGCGGCGUGCCUAAUACAUGCAAGUCGAGCGAACAGACGAGGAGCUUGCUCCUCUGACGUUAGCGGCGGACGGGUGAGUAACACGUGGAUAACCUACCUAUAAGACUGGGAUAACUUCGGGAAACCGGAGCUAAUACCGGAUAAUAUAUUGAACCGCAUGGUUCUAUAGUGAAAGACGGUUUUGCUGUCACUUAUAGAUGGAUCCGCGCCGCAUUAGCUAGUUGGUAAGGUAACGGCUUACCAAGGCAACGAUGCGUAGCCGACCUGAGAGGGUGAUCGGCCACACUGGAACUGAGACACGGUCCAGACUCCUACGGGAGGCAGCAGUAGGGAAUCUUCCGCAAUGGGCGAAAGCCUGACGGAGCAACGCCGCGUGAGUGAUGAAGGUCUUCGGAUCGUAAAACUCUGUUAUUAGGGAAGAACAAAUGUGUAAGUAACUAUGCACGUCUUGACGGUACCUAAUCAGAAAGCCACGGCUAACUACGUG